GCCUUGAUGUGUAGGAUAGGUGGGAGGCUUUGAAGUGUGGACGCCAGUCUGCAUGGAGCCGACCUUGAAAUACCACCCUUUAAUGUUUGAUGUUCUAACGUUGACCCGUAAUCCGGGUUGCGGACAGUGUCUGGUGGGUAGUUUGACUGGGGCGGUCUCCUCCUAAAGAGUAACGGAGGAGCACGAAGGUUGGCUAAUCCUGGUCGGACAUCAGGAGGUUAGUGCAAUGGCAUAAGCCAGCUUGACUGCGAGCGUGACGGCGCGAGCAGGUGCGAAAGCAGGUCAUAGUGAUCCGGUGGUUCUGAAUGGAAGGGCCAUCGCUCAACGGAUAAAAGGUACUCCGGGGAUAACAGGCUGAUACCGCCCAAGAGUUCAUAUCGACGGCGGUGUUUGGCACCUCGAUGUCGGCUCAUCACAUCCUGGGGCUGAAGUAGGUCCCAAGGGUAUGGCUGUUCGCCAUUUAAAGUGGUACGCGAGCUGGGUUUAGAACGUCGUGAGACAGUUCGGUCCCUAUCUGCCGUGGGCGCUGGAGAACUGAGGGGGGCUGCUCCUAGUACGAGAGGACCGGAGUGGACGCAUCACUGGUGUUCGGGUUGUCAUGCCAAUGGCACUGCCCGGUAGCUAAAUGCGGAAGAGAUAAGUGCUGAAAGCAUCUAAGCACGAAACUUGCCCCGAGAUGAGUUCUCCCUGACUCCUUGAGAGUCCUGAAGGAACGUUGAAGACGACGACGUUGAUAGGCCGGGUGUGUAAGCGCAGCGAUGCGUUGAGCUAACCGGUACUAAUGAACCGUGAGG
rnacentral:rRNA from 1 species